rnacentral:rRNA from 1 species
UACAGAGGUCUCAAGCGUUGUUCGGAUUCAUUGGGCGUAAAGGGUGCGUAGGUGGCGUGGUAAGUCGGGUGUGAAAUUUCGGAGCUUAACUCCGAAACUGCACUUGAUACUGCCUUGCUAGAGUACUGGAGAGGAGAUUGGAAUUUACGGUGUAGCAGUGAAAUGCGUAGAUAUCGUAAGGAAGACCAGUGGCGAAGGCGAAUCUCUGGACAGUUACUGACACUGAGGCACGAAGGCCAGGGAGCAAACGGG